GACGAACGCUGGCGGCGUGCUUAACACAUGCAAGUCGAGCGGUAAGGCCCUUUGGGGUACACGAGCGGCGAACGGGUGAGUAACACGUGAGUAAUCUGCCUUUGGCUUGGGAAUAACUUCGGGAAAUCGGGGCUAAUGCCUGAUGUUUACUGUCUGCUGCAUGGUGGGUGGUGGAAAGAUUUUUUGGCCAGGGGUGAGCUCGCGGUCUAUCAGCUUGUUGGUGGGGUAAUGGCUUACCAAGGCUUUGACGGGUAGCCGGCCUGAGAGGGUGUUCGGCCACACUGGGACUGAGACACGGCCCAGACUCCUACGGGAGGCAGCAGUGGGGAAUAUUGCGCAAUGGGCGUAAGCCUGACGCAGCGACGCCGCGUGGGGA
rnacentral:rRNA from 1 species